ACCCAAUCAUAAUGCAGGGAAUGAUACACUUCGAUAUUCUCCACCCUCACGACUGCGGCUGGUUUUUAUAACAUCUUUGUGGGAAUCGGAAAAGGACCCUCCUGCCUUAAGACCCUUCCGCCGGAUGAAAAUGUGAUGAAAGCUGGUCUUGUCAGAGCAUGGCGUGUGACUGCCCUCUGCUGGAAGACUGUUGAAAUUCAUAGUACAGAGCUUGGAUCCCGGGCGAUGGAAAUGGCAGCCUCUUGGGUAUGGUAGCCUUGGGCAGUACACGCCCUGGACAACCACACAUGGUGACCCUGCCACUCUUCACUCUUGUUCACACACACUGGAGGUGACGGUCAGGACUGGGCAGAGGCGGCCCAAUGAAAGCUCACAGGAUGAUGGCCCGGGGACUGAACCUGGUCUGCUGCUUUUAUUCGACCCGCAGAGGGGGAAAAAAAAAUGGAGCUAAUAUUUUAAAAUUUGGCAGAUUGUGUCUAAUGAUCUGGAAAGAUCUGAGAAAUCAGAGAAAGUAGAGAAACUGGGCCCUCACCCCCAAAUUAUAACACAGAGACUGCUCUCCAUGUGUCUCCAGUUAGCCUUCGUCUCCGCCAUGCCCGAUUGUCCCUCAAGCCUUAGUCAAUGGCUACAGCGAAAUGAAACUAUGCUAAUGCAGCGUCAGAUGCCUUCCCCAAGUGUCUUCCCUUAUGUAUCAGCAGUCUUCACUGCUGCUGGAGGCCUGUAAAUUUGUGACCACUGGUCUUGACACUGGUGAAAAAAACCCCACCCCAAGCUGAUCCUUAGAUCGGCCUCCCAGAGUGACCUGACGCUUUGCACAGGGUCACACGUCCCGUCUGUGCCACAACCGGAAUCGGGAGCCCGGGUCCUGACUCACUGAUUUUUCUCCACCCAACGUGCAGUCUGAGUUUCCAAAUCCGGCAGGCAUCAGAGCACGCUGCUCUUUAGAAAGAUAAGCCAAUUUACAUUCUUCACCGGCAGGCCGCGGGCUGCCCCCUCUCCCAGAGAGGCCUUUUUCAAACUGACAUCUGUCAGCAGCCUUGAUCCGUGUGUGGCUUUUUCCAAGCGGUGGUCCUGUUCGGGGACCUCAGCUCAACUUUGAUUCCAGCCGCGGCACACGGGCAGCCCCUCCUGGCUCCACUAAGAUGGGUCGUGCCCUGGCUGCGAGGGACAGCGUGGGGGCAACCGGGCCCGCGUUGUGCCCUUGCAGGGGUGGGAGAAGGCUCCCAUGAGAUGCGGGCACGCAAGCGUUUGGAAGAAUCAUGCGAUGUUGGGCAAAGGCAGAGCGUGAGGAUUGCAGUGCGUGGGGGAGCGGGCCGGAGGAGGAGGCAGAUGGGCGGGUGCUGUGUCCUCUUCUGGAGUCGGGCCCAGAGCCCAGGGCUCCCCUCCCUUCCCUCUGACAGCGCAGGGCUCGCCAGGUUCUGUGCCGGCAAUCGAGGGAGCGCCGGAGCUCUCUGACGCUGUGGCUCGGCACUGGAGCCUUCCUUUGGAGACAUCUGCCAGCGAGACUGGAGCAAAGCUUCUUUGAGGCCACGAAGAGGUGAUUGUUUUGCAUUGUGUAGGAGGAGCCAUCCAGGGAAGGAGAAAUUUCCCUUCGAGAAAUUCAGGAGGCGAUGCCGGAAUCCUGUCAAUUCCACGACUCACGGAGCGGGGUCUUUGCCUUUGUAGGGAGGGGUGCGGGGGAUGGGUAGGGGGCCGUGACGUGUGCGGGGUCCUUCCUUAGCGGGCAAAAGCCAAAACGGGUGGGACGUGUUCAUUCACGUAUUUCCUCAUUAAAAAAUAAUUUACUGG